UACGGAGGGUGCAAGCAUUAAUCGGAAUUAUUGGGCGUAAAGGGCGCGUAGGCGGAUUUGUAAGUCAGAUGUGAAAUUCCAAGACUCAAUUUUGGAGCUGCAUUUGAAACUACAAGUCUUUAGAGGGUAGACGGAGAAAACGGAAUUCCACAUGUAGCGGUGAAAUGCGUGGAUAUGUGGAAGAACACCGGUGGCGAAAGCGGUUUUCUAGUUUAUUCCUGACGCUGAUGCGCGAGAGCAAGGGGAGCAA
rnacentral:rRNA from 1 species